ensembl:lncRNA
UGGCUGAUUAAAUCACCUUUAUUAAAAGAUACAAGAUGCUGGAAUACCAACACUUUAGAAUGCAGAAGUACUUUACACACAGGCCCAGGCUUGUGUCCAAUAUGGCCCCUUAUUCACUAUAUAGUGCACUACUUUACACACAGGCCCAGGCUUGUGUCCAAUAUGGCCCCUUAUUCACUAUAUAGUGCACUACUUUACACACAGGGCCAGGCUUGUGUCCAAUAUGGCCCCUUAUUCACUAUAUAGUGCACUACUUUACACACAGGGCCAGGCUUGUGUCCAAUAUGGCCCCUUAUUCACUAUAUAGUGCACUACUUUACACACAGGCCCAGGCUUGUGUCCAAUAUGGCCCCUUAUUCACUAUAUAGUGCACUACUUCACACACAGGCCCAGGCUUGUGCCCAACCAAACUCACAUAGAGGCUGUAUCCAAUAUGGCCCCUUAUUCACCAUGUAGUGCACUACUUUAGACCAGAGCCCUAUUCCCUAUAUAGGGCACUACUUUAGACCAGAGCCCUAUUCCAUAUAUAGUGCACUACUUUAGACCAGAGCCCUAUUCCCUAUAUAGUGCACUACUUUAGACCAGAGCCUUAUUCCAUAUAUAGUGCACUACUUUAGACCAGAGCCCUAUUCCCUAGAUAGUGCACUACCUUUAACUACAGCAUUAUUCCAUAUAUAGUGCACUACUUUAGACCAGAGCCCUAUUCCCUAUAUAGUGCACAACAUUAUACUACAGCCCUAUUCCCUAUAUAGUGCACUACUUUAUACUACAGCCCUAUUCCCUAUAUAGUGCACUACUUUUAACCAGAGCCCUGAAUAGACCAGACACCUAAUCAUCUAUAUACAUCUUAAUCUAGCAUUGUGUUUCUCCUAUUAAUCACCCUGUGAAUGACUCUCUAUGGGUCCAGGUUAACACACUAUAAAGGGGAACAGAAUGACUCUCUAUGGGUCCAGGUUAACACACUAUAAAGGGGAACAGAAUGACUCUCUAUGGGUCCAGGUUAACACUCUAUAAAGGGGAACAGAAUGACUCUCUAUGGGUCCAGGUUAACACUCUAUAAAGGGAACAGAAUGACUCUCUAUGGGUCCAGGUUAACACUCUAUAAGGGGAACAGAAUGACUCUCUAUGGGUCCAGGUUAACACACUAUAAAGGGGAACAGAAUGACUCUCUAUGGGUCCAGGUUAACACACUAUAAAGGGGAACAGAAUGACUCUAUGGGUCCAGGUUAACACUCUAUAAAGGGGAAUAGAAUUACUCUCUAUGGGUCCAGGUUAACACUAUAUAAAGGGGAACAGAAUGACUCUCUAUGGGUCCAGGUUAACACUCUAUAAAGGGAACAGAAUGACUCUCUAUGGGUCCAGGUUAACACUCUAUAAGGGGAACAGAAUGACUCUCUAUGGGUCGAGGUUAACACUCUAUAAGGGGAACAGAAUGACUCUCUAUGGGUCCAGGUUAACACACUAUAAAGGGAACAGAAUGACUCUAUGGGUCCAGGUUAACACUCUAUAAGGGGAACAGAAUGACUCUCUAUGGGUCCAGGUUAACACAUUAUAAAGUGAAUAAGAGUCCAUUUGGAACACAGCUACAGUAGUAAUAACAAAGGUAUUUUUUGAUCAAAAUCCCUGUAAAUAUCUGCGGUAUCCUUGCCAACCCAUUUCAAUCUGCAGGUUGGUUUUUUUCUUUUCAAAAUCACAACGUGACAGUAAACCAGUCUUUAAAGAAAAAAGAGAUCUGAAACCAUGCAACACUCAACAAGCCCACGUUACAGUUACUUCUGGGUUCGCCACCGUUUUGAAUGGCAUCAUCAAUAUCAUCAUCAUCAUCAUCAUCAUCAUCAUCAUCAAUAUCAUCAUCAUCAUCAUCAAUAUCAUGAUCAUCGUCAUCAAUAUCAUGAUCAUCAUCAUCAAUAUCAUCAUCAUCAAUAUCAUGAUCAUCAUCAUCAAUAUUAUCAUCAUCAAUAUCAUGAUCAUCAUCAAUAUCAUCAUCAUCAUCAUCAAUAUCAUGAUCAUUAUCAAUAUCAUGAUCAUCAUCAACAAUAUCAUGAUCAUCAUCAAUAUCAUCAUCAUCAAUAUCAUGAUCAUCAUCAAUAUCAUGAUCAUCAUCAUCAUCAUCAAUAUCAUCAUCAUCAUCAUCAAUAUCAUCAUCAUCAAUAUCAUGAUCAUCAUCAAUAUCAUGAUCAUCAUCAUCAUCAUCAAUAUCAUCAUCAUCAUCAUCAAUAUCAUCAUCAUCAACACUUACAACACCAUAAGACUUCACACAACAGUGACAAGGACGUUUUGACGUUUUUUUUUUUGGGGGAGACAGAAUCGAUCAAAUCUCGAAGACCUCAUCCACUGAGUUUCCAUGACAGGACAAAACGGGUCACGUCGUAGAUAGAACGGGGUUCUCUUCUGUUUCAUUAGUUCGUUACCCGAGUCCAUCGCUGCCUUUAGGCCUCAUGCUUGGUGUUAAAGGGGGACAGUGACCCCGAGCAACAGAUAUACACUACACUUCAGCAAACUAACCACUGGCACCAAACACUAACCUGCUGCUCCCAGAUCAGUGUCUAACCUCCGUGUUGGCACCAAACACUAACCUGCAGCUCCCAGAUCAGUGUCUAACCUCCGUGUUGGCACCAAACACUAACCUGCUGCUCCCAGAUCAGUGUCUAACCUCCGUGUUGGCACCAAACACUAACCUGCAGCUCCCAGAUCAGUGUCUAACCUGCUGCUCCCAGAUCAGUGUCUAACCUGCUGCUCCCAGAUCAGUGUCUAACCUGCUGCUCCCAGAUCAGUGUCUAACCUGCUGCUCCCAGAUCAGUGUCUAACCUGCUGCUCCCAGAUCAGUGUCUAACCUCCUGCUCCCAGAUCAGUGUCUAACCUGCUGCUCCCAGAUCAGUGUCUAACCUGCUGCUCCCAGGUCAGUGUCUAACCUGCUGCUCCCAGAUCAGUGUCUAACCUGCUGCUCCCAGAUCAGUGUCUAACCUG